UACGAAGGUGGCAAGCGUUGUUCGGAUUUACUGGGCGUAAAGGGAGCGUAGGUGGUGGGGUAAGCCCCGCGGGAAAGCUCCAGGCUUAACCUGGAAAGGUCGCGGGGGACUGCUCCGCUCGAGGACGGGGAGAGGAGCGCGGAAUUCCCGGUGUAGCGGUGAAAUGCGUAGAGAUCGGGAGGAAGGCCGGUGGCGAAGGCGGCGACCUGGUCCGUGACUGACGCUGAGGCGCGAAAGCGUGGGGAGCAAACAGG
rnacentral:rRNA from 1 species